UACGUAGGGUGCAAGCGUUGUCCGGAAUUAUUGGGCGUAAAGAGCUUGUAGGCGGUUUGUCGCGUCUGCUGUGAAAUUUCGGGGCUCAACCCCGAACUUGCAGUGGGUACGGGCAGACUAGAGUGUGGUAGGGGAGACUGGAAUUCCUGGUGUAGCGGUGAAAUGCGCAGAUAUCAGGAGGAACACCAGUGGCGAAGGCGGGUCUCUGGGCCGUAACUGACGCUGAGGAGCGAAAGCGUGGGGAGCGAACAGG
rnacentral:rRNA from 1 species